UACAGAGGUCCCAAGCGUUGUUCGGAUUCACUGGGCGUAAAGGGUGCGUAGGUGGCGAGGUAAGUUUGAUGUGAAAUCUCCGGGCUUAACCCGGAAACUGCAUUGAAUACUAUCUUGCUUGAGGGUUGGAGGGGGGACUGGAAUUCUCGGUGUAGCAGUGAAAUGCGUAGAUAUCGAGAGGAACACCAGUGGCGAAGGCGAGUCCCUGGACAGUUCCUGACGCUGAGGCACGAAGGCCAGGGGAGCAAACGGG
rnacentral:rRNA from 1 species